UACGGGGGGGGCAAGCGUUGUUCGGAAUUACUGGGCGUAAAGGGCUCGUAGGUGGCCAACUAAGUCAGACGUGAAAUCCCUCGGCUUAACCGGGGAACUGCGUCUGAUACUGGAUGGCUUGAGUUUGGGAGAGGGACGCGGAAUUCCAGGUGUAGCGGUGAAAUGCGUAGAUAUCUGGAGGAACACCGGUGGCGAAGGCGGCGUCCUGGACCAACACUGACACUGAGGAGCGAAAGCCAGGGAGGCAAACGG
rnacentral:rRNA from 1 species